UACGUAGGGUGCAGGCGUUAAUCGGAAUUACUGGGCGUAAAGCGUGCGCAGGCGGUUUGCUAAGACAGGUGUGAAAUCCCCGGGCUUAACCUGGGAACUGCGCUUGUUACUGGCAGGCUAGAGUGUGGCAGAGGGGGGGUGGAAUUCCGCGUGUAGCAGUGAAAUGCGUAGAGAUGCGGAGGAACACCGAUGGCGAAGGCAGCCCCCUGGGCUGACACUGACGCUCAGGCACGAAAGCGUGGGGAGCAAACAGG
rnacentral:rRNA from 1 species